rnacentral:rRNA from 1 species
AACGAACGCUGGCGGCAGGCCUAACACAUGCAAGUCGAGCGAGGACUUCGGUCCUAGUGGCGGACGGGUGAGUAACGCGUGGGAACGUGCCCCUUGGUACGGAAUAGCCCCGGGAAACUGGGAGUAAUACCGUAUGAGCUCUACGGAGGAAAGAUUUAUCGCCAAGGGAUCGGCCCGCGUUGGAUUAGGUAGUUGGUGGGGUAAUGGCCUACCAAGCCGACGAUCCAUAGCUGGUUUGAGAGGAUGAUCAGCCACACUGGGACUGAGACACGGCCCAGACUCCUACGGGAGGCAGCAGUGGGGAAUCUUAGACAAUGGGCGCAAGCCUGAUCUAGCCAUGCCGCGUGAGCGAUGAAGGCCUUAGGGUUGUAAAGCUCUUUCAGCGAGGAAGAUAAUGACUGUACUCGCAGAAGAAGCCCCGGCUAACUCCGUGCCAGCCGCCGCAGUAAUAC